rnacentral:lncRNA from 1 species
GAGGAAGGAAGAGGAGAGAGGGGCUUUAGGAACAGAGAGAAGAGAGAAGUGGGCAGAGUGAACGUGAUCCUGGGGUUUGCAGCUCCUACAGCCCAUCCUCAAGUGAGAGAAAAUCUCGGGCAUGAGAGAAGGCUCAGCAGGCACAGGCGUCCCCCUCCCAAGUACCCCCUUCAUCUUCCUCACUCAGUUCCCACCUCCACCCCCUCCCAACCAAACAUCACCAAUCACACAUGAAUUAAAAGCCAUUUCCAGGCAAGCCCAGUGGCUCACGCCUGUAAUCCCAGCACUUUGGGAGGCUAAGGCUAGUGAAUCACUUGAGGGCAGGAGUUUAAGACCAACCUGGCCAACAUGGCAAAACCCCGUCUCUACAAAAAAAUAGCUGNNNNNN